rnacentral:rRNA from 1 species
GACAGAGGUCCCGAGCGUUAGGCGGAAUCACUGGGCUUAAAGCGUGUGUAGGCGGACUUCUAAGUACCUUGUGAAAUCCCACGGCUUAACCGUGGAACUGCUUGGUAUACUGGUUGUCUUGGGCCACCUAGGGGCUACUGGAACAAACGGUGGAGCGGUGAAAUGCGUAGAUAUCGUUUGGAACGCCAAUGGUGAAAACAAGUAGCUGGGGGUGUGCCGACGCUGAGACACGAAAGCCAGGGGAGCGAACGGG